CAAUUGGAGAGUUUGAUCCUGGCUCAGAUUGAACGCUGGCGGCAUGCCUAACACAUGCAAGUCGAACGCGAAAGGGGGCAACCCCGAGUAGAGUGGCGGACGGGUGCGUAACACGUGGGAAUCUACCCAGUAGCGGGGGACAACCCGGCGAAAGCCGGGCUAAUACCGCAUAAGCCCUACGGGGGAAAGCAGGGGAUCUUCGGACCUUGCACUAUUGGAUGAGCCCGCGGCGGAUUAGCUAGUUGGUAGGGUAAAGGCCUACCAAGGCGACGAUCCGUAGCUGGUCUGAGAGGACGACCAGCCACACUGGGACUGAGACACGGCCCAGACUCCUACGGGAGGCAGCAGUGGGGAAUAUUGGACAAUGGGGGCAACCCUGAUCCAGCAAUGCCGCGUGUGUGAAGAAGGCCUUCGGGUUGUAAAGC
rnacentral:rRNA from 1 species